UACGGGUAGGGGGCAAGCGUUGUCCGGAUUUAUUGGGCGUAAAGAGCGUGUAGGCGGCCUGAAAGGUCAGCUGUGAAAACUCGAGGCUCAACCGUCGAGACGUCGGUUGAAACCAUCUGGCUAGAGUCCGGAAGAGGAGUGUGGAAUUCCCGGUGUAGCGGUGAAAUGCGCAGAUAUCGGGAAGAACACCCGUGGCGAAGGCGGCUCUCUGGGACGGUACUGACGCUGAGACGCGAAAGCGUGGGGAGCGAACAGG
rnacentral:rRNA from 1 species